rnacentral:rRNA from 1 species
ACGUCGGAUAAUACUCGAUAGGUGAUUUGARGGCAUCYUUGRAUCAUUAAAGAUUUAUCACUUAGAGAGGGGCCUNCGGCGCAUUAGCUAGAUGGCGGUGUAAUGGACCACCAUGGCGAUGAUGCGUAGCCGGACUGAGAGGUUGAACGGCCACAAUGGAACUGAGAACGGUCCAUNCUCCUACGGGAGGCAGCAGUAGGGAAUUUUCGGCAAUGGGCGAAAGCCUGACCGAGCAACGCCGCGUGAACGAAGAAGUAUUUCGGUAUGUAAAGUUCUUUUAUUGGGGAAGAAAAAUAUCCAAAUUGACGGUACCCAAUGAAUAAGCUCCGGCUAACUACGUGCCAGCAGCCGCGGUAAUACGUAGGGAGCNAGCGUUAUCCGGAAUUAUUGGGCGUAAAGGGUGCGUAGAUGGCAAUGUAAGUCUUGUGUAAAAUUGUUGGGCUCAACCCAAUAGGGCACAAGAUACUGCAUAGCUCGAGUAUUGGAGAGGCAAGUGGAACUCCAUGUGUAGCGGUAAAAUGCGUAAAUAUAUGGAAGAACACCAGUGGCGAAGGCGGCUUGCUAGCCAGAUACUGACAUUGAGGCACGAAAGCGUGGGGAGCAAACAGGAUUAGAUACCCUGGUAGUCCACGCCCUNAACGAUGAGUACUAAGUGUUGGUGAUAAAUCAGUGCUGAAGUUAACGCAUUAAGUACUCCGCCUGAGUAGUACGUACGCAAGUAUGAAACUUAAAGGAAUUGACGGGAGCCNGCACAAGCGGUGGAGCAUGUU